rnacentral:RNase_P_RNA from 2 species
UUGUUGUGUUGGGUAGUUACUUCCGUUUUUGCGGGGGAGGAAAGUCCGAACAUUGGGUUAUUUGAUUAACAUGGGUAGUGGGUAACGCCCGUCUGGAGCAAUCCAAGAGAUGCGAGCAGUGACGUCCAAAGCGAAAGCAGAGGAACUCCGCAAGGAGUAAUCUUGUAGAAAUAUAAGAGUGAAACGGCAAAAUUCUUACCUCAAUGCAAGGCCGUGCCACAGCAAUGUGGAGUGCCGCUUGAUCACUACAGCAAUGUAGAUGACAGAUAAAUGACUAUCGCCACACGAGAUGCUUCGCAAGAACUAUCUCAUGUGGUACAGAAUUCGGCUUAUAGACACAACAAAUAA